UGAGUAACCUGCCCUUAACUCUGGGAUAAGCCUGGGAAACUGGGUCUAAUACCGGAUAUGACUCCUCAUCGCAUGGUGGGGGGUGGAAAGCUUUAUUGUGGUUUUGGAUGGACUCGCGGCCUAUCAGCUAGUUGGUGUGGGUAAUGGCCCACCAAGGCGACGACGGGUAGCCGGCCUGAGAGGGUGACCGGCCACACUGGGACUGAGGCACGGCCCAGACUCCUACGGGAGGCAG
rnacentral:rRNA from 1 species